ensembl:lincRNA
CGGACUCCUCCGGGGCCCCUCGGUGGCUUCCGGGGAGACGGAGCCAAAGUGUUGUUGCUUUGAGUAGUUGCGAGCGACCCCGGGUCUCAGGGAGGGCUUCAUUGCCGACUGAAGAAACCCAGCGACCUCGGCCUCCGGCUUACCCAGCUCUCCUGCCCGAGGGGCAAAGCCCCCUCCUCUUUUCUUUAGUUUGCACGGGAUGCGCUUUGACUCCGUGAACAGUCUCAUUGUGGUGGUGCCAGCCUUUAAAGCCCGCACCCAGGAGGCAGAGGCAGGAGAAUCUCUGAGCUCGAGCCCAGGCUGGUCUACACAUGGAAAGGCCGUAUUUUGAGGAAUACAUGUAAUGUGUUAAGGAGGCCACUGGAAAAGCCAGACACCCAGGGAAGAGCUCAGGGCUGACAGCCUGAGAGCUGGUCAUUCUGGGAAACCAGAGGCCUUGGCAGUCCCCAUCUGGCAUCUAAAACCUGGAAGGCUCCAGGAGAGUUCUGGAUCUUCAGCCCACCUUGGAAGCCUAAAGAAGCUGGAGUCUGAUGCCACCAGGGGUUGGAGGCAGCAGCAGGAGAGAGAUGCACUUAAGAGGUGAAGGCUGCAGGCUGGCCACACUGCAUAUACCAUGGAGGUCAGCACUGGGAUGCACUGCCCACACGGGAAGAGUCUCCCUGCCUCAGAGACAGACAGGACUUUCAGACCCUGUGGGGAAGCUGACUUUAUUUGGAAGCUCUGUGGAGUUGUCUAAAUCAACGCUGGGAGGAAUUGAACACAGUUACUCUGUGCUCACAGACUGUGUCUUUAACAAUAUCUACAGGAUGCUUUUGAGGAGGCACGGUGGGAAAGGAGAACCCAGAAGAUGAGCAGUUGCUAGAUGACCGCAGUGACAUCAUCCAGCUAUGAAACAAUGGCUGCCCCUCCACAGCUAGCAGCAAUGCGAACUGUCACCAGGGUUAUGGAAAACAGUGCGGCAUGCUUUGGUGCAUUUAGCCAUCAAAGUGACCUACUGAGAGUAAAAUGUGCCUGUUUGUUUCAAAUCAGCAUGGCGUGCCCAUGACAUACUUCAGAAAUUGAAGUGUACACAUGAAAAUUUAGAUUUACGAGGAUGUUUACUGAGUAUUGUCAGUAAAGGUAAAGAGAAAGCAAAUAAAUGCUAGCUAGGAAAAAAGCACCACAGGGAAACCGACAGUGGGAUAAUUGGCAUUACCUCACUGGGAGACAUAGUUAGAUGGUUAGCACCAUGGGUUAGAGCCAUCACCAUCCAGGAGUGAUCAAAUGAGAAGAAAGGAGAGCAGAGAAAUCUGAAUAAACGGAUCUGACUUACAAAAUAGAUACGCACAAUAAAACUUCGUGUGUGUGUGUGUGUGUGUGUGUGUGUGUGUGUGUGUGUUGUGAAAUCCUUGGAUAGAGAGAGAAGAAGCAAGCUGGUGGCUAGCAAGUCUGAAAGUUCAUUUAUAAACCUACCAAAGGAGAACUGGACUGUCUGUAUCAUUCACAAACCUAUCAGAGGAGGACUAGGCUGUCUGUGUCAUUCACAAACCCAUCAGAGGAGGACUGGGUUACCUGGGUCAUUCACAAACCCAUCAGAGGAGGACUAGGUUACCUGGGUCAUUCACAAACCCAUCAGAGGAGGACUGGACUGUCUGUAUCAUUCACAAACCCAUUAGAGGAGAACUGGGCUGCCUGUCCAGGGCUGGGGUUGUGGGAGGUUAGUGACGUGAAUGGACAGUGUGGGAGUGGAAAUAGGAUGACAGGGGGACCAUUUAGCUCUGCUCAGGCCUGCUUGUCCCAGCAGCCAGAAAGGCUGAGCUGAAACGGGUCACUCUGACCCUCCUGGGGCUUUUCUUUCAAGGCAGGUGUGGCCUGGCUGGUGACAGUGUGAGGUUUUCUCACAUCUAGCACACAGGACUCCCUGGACUGUCCUUGUGCUUUCAAGAGGAGGCCAACAGCUUCACCUUUCCCAGGACACAGAGCUCUGUGAACAACCUCUUGAAGAAACCCUUUAAAGACUCUUUCUCCAUACUGAGAAGUGGAGGAAGGAGGGAGACAGAAUAUAUGGAGGGGUUGUAGAUGUUUAGGGGUUGUAGAUGUUUAGGGGUUGUAGGUGUUUAGGGGUUGUAGAUGUUUAGGGGUUGUAGAUGUUUAGGGGCUGUAGGUGUUUAGGGGCUGUAGAUGUUUAGGGGUUGUAGGUGUUUAGGGGUUGUAGAUGUUUAGGGGCUGUAGACGAUGUUUGACCAAGUAAAGUUCAGUAGAGAAUAAGAGCACUGGACGCAAAGUUCAAUGACUAAGGUAUUUGCUCUCCCAUGGCCUGGGAGUUCUUUGAUGAUCUGGAAUGAAAUACCAGUCUCUCUUGGAUCAUGGUGAUUGUUUAAAUUAAAUCAUGUCAAUCUUUAAAAGAGAUCCUUGAGGCAUCAAAUAGCUCCCAUGUACUCUGACUUCCCACCCCGCUCAAAAUGGACAAGCCACCAACAGGCCUUGUACUCAUCUGUCAACACCUGGGUAUUUCCUCUCCAGUUUGUCCUCUCAUGAAGCACUUGUAGAAAUAUAAUGUUGUUUUAUUUUAUUUUAUUUUUACCUUGUGAGCAUUUUGUUCCCUGGAGAUUAUGAGUCUAUAAACAGCCCUGUCAGUUCAGUAUCCAAGCAUAGGGCAUUGAUUGAAAAGGUCUGGUGAGAAUUUCCGACCCACACUAGGCCACUUGCUCUAUUAUUUUUUUCCCGAGAAUUCUGUAUAGUCACAACUGCAGAGUAGAAAUAUUGUACUACCAGGCCCCAGUUUUACAUAGAGAGCUUAUGUUCUUCCAGGGAAAAUGCAGAUAAUGAAUCUGGGGCAAACACAUUCUCUGUGGGUAAGCUGACAACAGAACAAUACUCUGAAAUAACUACUAGGUUUGCAGAGACCAAAAGCCCCCAGGUGAGCAGUUUUCCUUCGGGACUGAGGCUGCUCAUACCGUGCCUUCCCUCCUUCCCUUUUCAUUCCUUUGUUGGUUUUAUCUGUGACAGGGUCUCGGGCCACAAACUUGUGACUCCCUUCAGCCUCCUAGAGUGUGAUAUACUAUUUAAAAACUGAUUAAUUUUCUUGUUUGAUAAUUUCACACAAGUAUAUAAUGCAUUCUAAUUACUCCCCACCCUUUCUGAUGCCUGUCAUCCGUAUCAUCCAUCCAACACUGUUGUUCCUUCCUAAGACUCGUGACUUUGGUUUUAUUUUGUGACUUACUGAGUCCAACCAGGGCCAUCUGUGUAACUGCUUUGUGUCUUGUACUGAGUCAGCAAGGCCAGACAAACAGACAAACAACUCUCCCCCUUACCGAGUCCUGUGAAAGAUUAAGACAGAGGCUCCUCAUCCCUUUGUUAGCAUCUUUGCUGUGCUGUUUCACAUAGAGCUCAGACAGCCUUGGCUCAGGGCAACUUUCCAUUAGACUUCUUUUUGAGUAUAACAGCAGACCAAACCUCUGAAUACAUCAGGGCUGCUCUUGGGUAAAUGAGACCAAGAUUUAGUCUUUCUCCCUCUGUGUGGCGUCACCACAGGGCUUGACUGUUGACAGGCCUGUUCUUGCGCACACCUACCACAAGCAUCUGCAGCUGCUGUGUGCUGUGGCAAUGGACGUGUCUUGCCCAGGUGACUUUUGCGGCCUUUCUAUCAACUCUUGCAUUCUCUCCAUCUUCAGUGGUGUUCCCCAAGCCUUCGAGGGGAUGGCACAAUUAUUAUUUACAGAGGGGAACUCAUCCAUCACUUAACCUUAGCACCCCGAGCAGCCACAAAUCUCUCUGUUUGCUGGAAAGAGAAACUUCUCUGACAAGGCAUUGCCACUGGCCCACAGUGUAUAAUAUCGCCUCAGGAGAUGCUGCAGCUCAUCUGUGCACGGUGGUCACUUGCUAUAUGAGGAGAUGCCACUGCGAUCAUCAAUUUAUUUAGUCGUGACAACUGGGUUACAUUGUCGAGACAAAGAAUUCUGAAAUCUCAAGUGACUGUUACCCACAACAAACGGAUGUGCAGUGUUCAGGAACCCACACAAUGAGUAGGAGGGUCCUAUGUAACAAUAAAUCUUCCCGCCAAGCCUCCUGAGCCCUGCUGCCAUGUGGGCGCUCUACGCCAGGCUGCCCGAGUUCCACCUGCCGCCAUGUUAAGGUCCCAAGUGAAACACAGAGAUUUAUAUUAGCUACAAAUGCUGCUUGGCCAAUGACUAGGAUGUCUCAUCUGCUAGCUCUUAAUUAUCAUAAAUCUAUAUAUUUUAUAAGACUUAUCGGACGCCAUUGACAAGUGUCCUGUCUUCCCGGGCUCACAUGGUGACUCUGCGCUUUCUCCUACAUUUCCCAGAAUCCUCCUAGUCCCCCCUAUCUUGAUUUCCUAUUGGCCAACAGUACUUUAUUUGUCAACCAAUAAGACAGUCGUAUACACAGAAGGACCUCCCCCAUCAUCUCCUCUUUUCUGUCUAAAUAAAAAGAAGGAUAACUUAUCUUUUAUAAUAACUGAAGAAAACUAUAACCGUAACUAUCUGUCUUCAACUCCAUCAAAGACCACAGAAGGAUAAUAUAUGAACUCUAGAAUUGACAGAGAGAUCUCGCUACCUGGACAGUCAUCCAAAGUUCCUCUGUAACGUUAGGGCAUCAUCUUCAGCCUAUAGGCCACAGUGUGUCUGGUACAUUUCUCCAUUUCAGGUGAGGAACUUGCUGUGUGGGGAUGUCAGCUCCUUCUCUCCAGUGCAAGACACCCCAGAAAGCAGCUUACAGUUUGCUUCUGUGUCCUGUUUGCCCUGGGCCAGCAUCACACAGGCCCCAAUCAGCACAAUCAGAAUUCAGGGCCAGCUCUUCCAGGAACCCUGGGCUGCCCUUCUGGCAUUCAGAUGCUCUGACUGCUGAGCUACACCCUCAAGCUUCCCCCUUCCGGGACCCCCCCCCUCCAAGAAUUAACCAACACCGCCAUGUGAACCUUGUCUUCAGGCCUUGUAGCAAGUGAAACUGAACUAGAUUCUAGGCUUUUCUGUGGCUCCUAUCCAGUUAAAUCUUCUAGUGCCCUUCUGGGACAGCCAGGUGCUGGCUGCAGGGCUGCUCAGAGUGGACCCUGUCUGGGGUGGAGACUCUCGAUUGUUUUUCCCUCUCUGCUGGUGUUUUUCUUUCCAUUCCUUUUUUGAGAAGGCCCCCCCCCCCCCCACCCCUUAAGAGGAGCCAAGAGCAGGACAACUGAUGAACAGCCUCCGUGGCUGCAAAGUCCUUG